GUAAAUAUUACAUUUUUACGACGCGUGACGUCUACAACGACGUUUACUUCUAACACCAUCGUAGAAAUAGCGAGAUACAAAGACGGGUUUACAUAUAUACCGUCGUUAACAUUCUGUUUGAAUGUUAAUCUCCCCUGUUGCGCGCUCAUUGAACGUACCUCCAAAUCCCUCUCUGAAAAUUCUGCAUUCAACUGGUGUUGCGUGUUGGCCUGACUCUUCCUCGCACCACCAUGAACUCUGCAAAAGGAACCCUACAUUGUCGCGCAUCCCUGACCUUCGUGUCGCGUGUUGUUCGCACCACCAUAACCUCGGCGCAUCAUGCCCUUUAGUUAUCGUGCCCUGCAAGUGUUUGUGAAGGUACUAGGUUGAGACAAAAACUUACGAAGUAAAUUCUUGUUUCACAAGUGUCGGACUUCACUCUAGACUGUUGUGUCUGGUUUGCCACUGCUUUGAUCCUACUCAUAGCUGUUGUUAUUGAUCGUAUUUUUGAGGAUCAUGGGAACACCACCAGCAUCCCCUCUGCAGUCAGAUAUGCAGUCAGAGGUCAUGUCUAGGAAUACUAGACAAUCCACACAGCUAAGGAGGUUGACUCUAUGAACCUUAGAUCAGCUUAGACCAACUGUAAACGUUGAUGCUGCAACUGGUAGAAGAUUGGGCCCACAUAAAGAGAAAUUCCACAGCUAUCUAGGGGUCGUAGCUAGAGAAAAAAAUUCCAAUUGUACAUAACACUUGGAAAGAUGUACCAGACUCACUAAAGGACCUAGUAUGGGAUGACAUUUUGGCGAAAUUUGAUAUCCUAAAAGCGUCGAAUGCAAAGAAAAAGGUCAUGUCCACUAUGGCCACUAGAUGGAGGCAGUUUAAAUCAUCCCUCACCACUAAAUUUAUCUAUGCUAACUCUGAGGGACAACAUAAACAUGAUCCUUCAAUCAAAUAUGGCCUAGAUCCACAAACUCGAGAGGAAUUUUCCACAAGUCGCAAAACCCCUAACUGGCAGGGAAUCAGGAAGAUGAUGCAGGAAAUUCAAAAAUACAAUGACUGUCCCCAUUUAUUUUCUUGCGGGGGAUAUGAUUUGCUUGAAAAGAAGCUAUUAGACGAGAAAAUGAAGAAAAGACAACAUGACACAAUGAUGACUGAGAAUACACCACAAAUUAAGGACCCUCCAUCUCCCAUUGAAAGACAUGUUAAGUGGAAGUUGGCAUGCACUAAGCGAUAUGGGCAGAUAGAAUGACUGUUUUCUCCCCCAUUGAAUAUUAACUACUGCAUGAAGCUAAGUUCAUACAAUUCAUGACCACAUCAUAAAAGUAAGUGUCCAAGCCCACCUCUUUAAUGGUUUCAAUCACAAAGUCCCAUCUAAUUCUAUCAUAAGUUAUUUUCAUAUCAACUUUAAUAGCAACGAAUUGAAGCCUUUCUUGCUCUUCUUAAUAUGCAUGCAUCGUGUAAAAAAUUCUUGGAUAGAUAAUGUUAUUAAUCAAA